GUGUCAGCAGCCGCGGUAAUACGUAGGGGGCAAGCGUUGUCCGGAUUUACUGGGCGUAAAGCGCGUGUAGGCGGUUUCUUAAGUCCGGGGUGAAAGGCGGAGGCUCAACCUCCGAGCUGCGCCGGAAACUGGGAGACUGGAGUGUCGGAGAGGGAAGUGGAAUUCCUGGUGUAGCGGUGAAAUGCGUAGAGAUCAGGAGGAACACCCGUGGCGAAGGCGGCUUCCUGGCCGAACACUGACGCUGAGACGCGAAAGCGUGGGGAGCGAACGGGAUUAGAUACCCCGGUAGUCCACGCCGUAAACGAUGGUCACUAGGUGUACGCGGUAUCGACCCCGCGUGUGCCGCAGCUAACGCAAUAAGUGACCCGCCUGGGGAGUACGGCCGCAAGGUUGAA
rnacentral:rRNA from 1 species